CUGACUUGAAGAAGGCAUAGUGAAUAGAUCAGAUCACAGAGCCAGGGUUCAGGAAGGUCUCCCUGGGCUACAUGAAUGACCACAAUCCAAGCCGGUGUAAGUCAGUGGCUAGAGAAGAACACAAGUCCUUUCUUGGACAUGGUUCACAGCACGGAGGAUUACUGUAUCUUUUGAGGUUACUGCUUCAAGUAACCUAAGGGCUUCACAGUAAUUCCUGAUUUGGCCCCCAGCCAGCGCUAGGAUUCCCAGAGCUAGAGAAGAACUCUGCCUCCCAAGCACUCAGAUCGUUGGACGCCUCCUAACAGAUGACAGACUCCUCUCCUGGGAUGUUUUCACAACAGGGAGCAACCCAGCCAAUUGGCUAGGGAGAAAGAAGGGUUGAUUUUAAGAGCCAUGGUGGGCAGAAAACUUGCUGACCUGAGUCCUGUUGGGAAAAUUAAGGAAUUUAUGAGCCUAGUACAGAGUAUGAAUGAAGAAACCAACUCAUCCUGGUCAUUCAGGAACCUGAAAAUUUUCCCCAUGGCUCCCAGGUCCACAGACUGAGGCUUCCUUCCACAGCCAAGGGCAUGAGGAUCCUGGAGUUAAUAACACUGGCUUGUUUACAUACAUUACACCAGAUCUUGGAUGAAGGCAUAUCAAGGAGAUUUUGCUUACCAGAUAUCUCAGAUGAGGGAACAUCAGGCCCUCAUCUCUAUAGUUGGUACAGCUUGUCAUGAUCGGAUCCAUUGGAGAGGCCCAGAAAUGGAUUCUUACUGAGUGAGAUCACACAGUAGGACUGGAAAGUUUGUGUUCCAUCUCCAGAUAUGACAAUAUAUGGCUUUAUAUGUGAUACCAAAUAGCAAGAAUAGAAUUGAUUCUGUUUGAUGGUAACCUGAAGUCUUCCCUGGCAAAACAUAUGCAGAAAUAUGAAGUAAUAUUUUUAAAAGUAUAUAAUUCUUUUUGUUUCAAAAUAAGCCUGUGGGAUUUAAGCCUGAAGCUUCUAUGAGGAGGUAAGCUGCCUUCAAAGAUCUUAGCCCUUUUUGUAUCUUUUACGUUUUUCCAGCAGAGAACUCAUACUUGGUGUUACUAUAAAUUCAUAUUUCUUAGUUUGACACAAUGUGUCCUGAAUUCAACUAAGGAAACUGUCCUUUAAUGUUAAUCCUCUUUCUCUUUUUAGUGCAUUUACCAUCCGUUAUAACAUCUCAGUCUCAACAAGGUCGAUUUACUUUCUAGGGAAAUUUUUUCUUAGAUGGCCACAGUUGCCGAUGGAUUAACCCACUCACAUGAUCUGUGUUGGACUUCCCUAGUGGCUCAGGUGGUAAAGAAUCUGCCCACAAUCGGGGGAACCCAGGUUUGAUCCCUGGAUUGGGAAGAUCCCUUGGGGAAGGGAGUGGCAAUUCACUCCAGUAUUCUUGCCUGGAGAAUUCCACGGACAGAGGAGCCUGAUGGGUUACACUUCAUGGGAUCACAAAGAGUUGGGCAUAACUGAACGACUAACACACAUGAUCUGUGCUAAUGGAUAUUCUGGGAGGUAAGUAAUUAGAAAGGUCUUUGACUUCCCUCAAAUACCAGGUGCAGUCCUUGCCUCUUGGACUGAGAAGCCUUCUAGUGAGUCAGAGGAACAGGUUAACUGUACUUAAUCUUAUGUAAUCUUAUGCUUACUCCUUGGAAGGAAAGUUAUGACCAACCUAGAUAGCAUAUUAAAAAGCAGAGACAUUUACUUUGCCAACAAAGGUCCAUCUAGUCAAGGCUAUGGUUCUUCCAGUGGUCAUGUAUGGA